rnacentral:rRNA from 1 species
UACGGGGGGGGGUAAGCGUUGUUCGGAAUUACUGGGCGUAAAGGGCUCGUAGGCGGCCAACUAAGUCAGACGUGAAAUCCCUCAGCUUAACUGGGGAACUGCGUCUGAUACUGGAUGGCUUGGAUUCGGGAGAGGAAUGCGGAAUUCCAGGUGUAGCGGUGAAAUGCGUAGAUAUCUGGAGGAACACCGGUGGCGAAGGCGGCAUUCUGGACCGACAUUGACGCUGAGGAGCGAAAGCCAGGGGAGCAAACAGG